UACGUAGGGUGCAAGCGUUAAUCGGAAUUACUGGGCGUAAAGCGUGCGCAGGCGGUUUUGUAAGUCUGUCGUGAAAUCCCCGGGCUCAACCUGGGAACUGCAUCUGUGACUGUAUAGCUAGAGUACGGUAGGAGGGGGAUGGAAUUCCGCGUGUAGCAGUGAAAUGCGUAGAUAUGCGGAGGAACACCGAUGGCGAAGGCAAUCCCCUGGGCCUGCACUGACGCUCAUGCACGAAAGCAUGGGGAGCAAACAGG
rnacentral:rRNA from 1 species